UACGGGGGGCAAGGCGUUGUUCGGAAUUACUGGGCGUAAAGGGCUCGUAGGUGGCCCCAUAAGUCAGACGUGAAAUCCCCGGGCUCAACCCGGGAACUGCGUCCGAUACUGGAAGGCUUGAAUCCGGGAGAGGGAUGCGGAAUUCCAGGUGUAGCGGUGGAAAUGCGUAGAUAUCUGGAAGGAACACCGGUGGCGAAGGCGGCAGUCCGAUGGACCAACACGUGAACACUGAUGAGCGGAAAGCCAGG
rnacentral:rRNA from 1 species